GAUGAACGUUGGCGGCGUGGAUUAGGCAUGCAAGUCGAGCGAGAACCCGCAAGGGGGACAGCGGCAAACGGGGUAGGAAUGAUUGGUGACGUACCCUCGGGACGGGGAUAGCCACGGGAAACUGUGGGUAAUACCCGAUAAUCUCCCAGGUUUGAAGACCUGGGUGCAAAGGUGUGAUUCCACCGGAGGAGCGGCCAAUCUGGUAUUAGCUAGCUGGUAGGGUAACGGCCUACCAAGACUACGAUGCCUAGGGGGUGUGAGAGCAUGGCCCCCACCACUGGGACUGAGAUACUGCCCAGACACCUACGGGUGGCUGCAGUCGAGAAUCUUCGGCAAUGGGCGAAAGCCUGACCGAGCGACGCCGCGUGCGGGAUGAAGGCCUUCGGGUUGUAAACCGCUGUCAGAGGGGAUGAAGUUCUAGGAGGUUCUCCUUCUAGAUUGACAGAGCCUCAGAGGAAGCACGGGCUAAGUAUGUGCCAGCAGCCGCGGUAAGAC
rnacentral:rRNA from 1 species